GGUUUGAUUAUGGCUCAAGAUUCAGACGCUUGGCAGGAUGCUUUACACAUGCAGAGUCGAGCAGCGGCACGGACGCUGGCGGUCUGGUGGCGAGUGGCGAACGGGUGAGUAAUGUAUCGGAACGUGCCUAGUAGCGGGGGAUAACUACGCGGCGUAGCUAAUACAUACGCCCUUCGAGGAAAAGCCGGGGACCUUCCCAGGCCUCGCACUGUCCGAGCGCGGCCGAUAUCAGGAUUAGCUGGAUUGGUGGGAGUAACGGCUCACCAAGGCGACGAUCCGUAGCUGGUUUGAGAGACGGCCAGCCACCUAGGACUGAGACACGGCCCAGACUCCUACGGGAGGCAGCAGUGGGAAUUUUGGACAAUGGGGAAACCCACAGUCCAGCCAUCCCGCGUAUUGCGAUAGAGGACCUUCGGGUGUAAAGCAUUUUUGUAAGGAAAGAAACGGCACGGGAUAAUACCCGUGCAACUGACGGUACCUGCGGAAUAACACCGGCUAACUACGUGCAAGCAGCCACCUGCCCGGUAAUACGUAGGGUGCAAGCGUUAAUCGGAAUUACUGGGCGUAAAGCGUGCGCAGGCGGUUCGGAAAGAAAGAUGUAGAAAUCCCAGAGCUUAACUUUGGAACUGCAUUUUAACUACCGAGCUAGAGUGUGUCGAAAGGGAGGUGGAAUUCCGCGUGUAGCAGUGAAAUGCGUAGAUAUGCGGAGAAAUUUUCGAUGGCGAAGGCAGCCUCCUGGGAUAACACCCCAACCCGCUCAUGCACGAAAGCGUGGGGAGCAAACGGGAUUAGAUACCCUGGUAGUCCACACCUAAACGAUGUCAACUAGCUGUUGGGGCCUUCGGGCCUUGGUGGCCGCAGCUACGCGUGAAGUUGACCGCCUGGGGAAGUACGGUCGCAAGAUUAGGCUCAAAGGAAUUGACGGGGACCCGCGCGGUGGAUGAUGUGGAUUAAUUCGAUGCAACGCAGAAAACCUUACCUACCCUUGACAUGUCUGGAAUCCCGAAGAGAUUUGGGAGUGCUCGCAAGAGAACCGGAACACAGGUGCUGCAUGGCUGUCGUCGGCUCGUGUCGUGAGAUGUUGGAGUUAAGUCCACAACGAGCGCAACCCUUGUCGUGGAUUUGCUACGAAAGGGCAUAUGAGGACUGCCGGUGACAAACCGGAGGAGGUGGGGAUGACGUCAAGUCCUCAUGGCCCUUAUGGGUAGGGCUUCACGUCAUACAAUGGUCAGGACAGAGGGUCGCCAACCCGCGAGAAGAAUCAAUCCCAGAAACCCGAUCGUAGUCCGGAUCGCAGUCUGCAACUCGACUGCGUGAAGUCAGAAUCGCUAGUAAUCGCGAGGAUCAACAUGUCGCGGUGAGAAGAUACGUUCCCGGGUCUUAUUACCUUCUCCGUCACACCAUGGGAGUAGGUUUGCCAGAAGUAGUUAGCCUAACCGUAAGGAGGGCGAUUACCGGUAGGAUUCAUGACUGGGGUGAAGUCGUAACAAGGU
rnacentral:rRNA from 1 species